rnacentral:rRNA from 1 species
UACGGAGGGUGCAAGCGUUAUCCGGAAUCACUGGGUUUAAAGGGUGCGUAGGCGGUCUUGUAAGUCAGUCGUGAAAUCGCUGGGCUCAACCCAUGCAACUGCGAUUGAUACUGCUUGACUUGAAUAAGGUUGAGGUAGGCGGAAUGUGGCAUGUAGCGGUGAAAUGCUUAGAUAUGCCAUAGAACACCGAUUGCGAAGGCAGCUUGCUGGACCUUUAUUGACGCUGAGGCACGAAAGCGUGGGGAGCAAACAGG